GGCAAAGAUGCCUCCAGGUAUCAGCAAAUGAGAGCCACCCCGAAGUUUGGACCUUAUCAAAAUGCGCUCAGGGAAAUCCGAUAUUCCCUCCUGCCUUUUGCCAACGAGUCAGGCACUUCAGCAGCUGCAGGGGUGAUCCUGCAGAUGCUUCAGGAGUUGGUGAAUGCGGAAUGUGACCAGGAGAUGGCUGGCAGAGCGCUCAAGCAGACGGGCAGUAAGAGUAUUGAGGCCGCCUAGGAGUACAUCAGUAAGAUGGGCUACCUGGACCCCAGGAAUGAGCAGAUUGUGCGAGUCAUCAAGCAGACCUCCCCAGGAAAGGGCCUGGUGCCCGCCCCGGUGACUUGGUGGCCCAGUUUCGAGGGCACAGGGGAAACACUCACAUCUUACCACCAGCUGGGUGGUGCAAACUGCGAGGGCUCCACCACACUGGAGGAGAUGCUGCAGCAAUAUUUAAGACUUCCUCUUCCCCGGAGCCGGCACCCACGGUGCCCCUGCUCACCAACAUCCUCCCAAAGGCUACAGCACCGCAGUGGAGCCAGGUGCGCACUUCCGGGGCACACACUGUGGUCGCGGUCAUCUAUGAUCUGAGUAGCCUGGGUAUGGGGUGCAGCGCAGCCCCUCCUUCCAGAGCAAGACGCCAACAGAUGCCUAUUCCGGCCUGGUCAAGGCCCAGGGUGGCCCUCCCGCCAGCCUCACCUUUCCUGCCCAUGCUGUGCUGUACGCCGCCUCGCACCACAGGCCGGCGGCUACCCCACCUGGGGCCCACCCAUUACAGGUGCUGGGCACCCGGGGUCACACGUUUACUGGCGAAAGCUCUGCACAGGCUGUGCUGGUACCGUCCAGGAACAGCCUCAGUGCUGACUUGUAUGAGCUGGGCUCCGCUGUGCCCUGGUCUGCAGCUCCACUGGCACACCUUGACUCGCAGGGUGUAGAGGCCUCGCGGUCGCAUGUGGCUUUCCGGGCUGGCCCCAGCAGGACCAACUCUUUCAACAACCCACAACCCGAACCUUCACUGCCCGCACCCAACACGGUCACCGCUGUGACCGCUGCACACAUCCUUCACCCCGUGAAGAGCGUGCGUGUACUGCGGCCCGAGCCCCAGACAGCCGUGGGGCUCUCGCACCCUGCCUGGGUGGCUGCGCCCACAGCACCUGCCACCGAGAGCCUGGAGACGAAGGAGGGCAGCGCAGGCCCACACCCGCUGGAUGUGGACUAUGGCGGCUCCGAGUGCGGGUGCCCACCGCCUCCGUACCCAAAGCACUUGCUGCUGCCCAGUAAGUCUGAGCAGUACAGCGUGGACCUGGACAGCCUGUGCACCAGAGUGGAGCAGAGUCUGCGAGGGGGCACCGAGCAAGACAAGAAUGACAAGAGCCACAAAGGUGCGAAGGGAGACAAAGCUGGCAGAGACAAAAAGCAGAUCCAAGAGGUAGAUGUCCCCAUCCGUAUGGAGACUGAGGCUGGCUGGUGUCUCUUGUGUAGCCUGGUAGACCUAGCCUCUUCCUUCUGAAGGGGCCUCCGCUGCUGUGUGUCCUUAUAACGCGCCUCUAGCUUCCCUUGCAUGCAGGCCGGGCUCUGUGAGGCUGAGCAGGAGCAGGUGAGGAAGCUCCUCUACCAGAAGGAGUCUAACUCCAACCGCCUGAAGAGGGCCAAGAUGGACAAGUCCAUGUUUGUGAAAAUCAAGACGCUGGGCAUUGGUGCCUUUGGGGAAGUGUGCCUCGCCUGUAAGGUGGACUCACACUCUGUACGCCAUGAAGACUCUCAGGAAGAAAGAUGUCCUGAACUGGAAUCAAGUGGCCCAUGUCAAGGCUGAGAGGGACAUCCUGGCUGAAACAGACAAUGAGUGGGUGGUCAAACUCUACUACUCCUUCCAGGACAAGGACAGCCUGUACUUUGAUGGACUACAUCCCUGGCGGGGAUAUGAUGAGCCUGCUGAUCCGGAUGGAGGUCUUCCCUGAACACCUGGCCGGCUUCUACAUUGCAGAGCUGACUCUGGCCAUUGAGAGUGUCCACAAGAUGGGCUUUAUCCACCGAGAUAUCAAGCCUGACAAUGUCCGCAUCGACCUGGAUGGUCAGAUUAAGCUGACAGACUUUGGCCUCUGCACUGGAUUCAGGUGGACUCACAACCCCAAGUGCUACCAGAAAGGGAACCACAUCAGACAGGACAGCAUGGAGCCUGGUGACCUCUGGGACGAUGUUUCCAACUGUCGUUGUGGGGACAGGUUAAAGACCCUGGAGCAGAGAGCACAGAAGCAGCACCAGAGGUGCCUGGCACAUUCUCUGGUUGGGACACCAAAUUACAUCGCUCCGGUGGUGCUCCUCCGCAAAGGUGAUCAACUGGGAGAAUACGCUGCACAUCCCCACGCAGGUGAGGCUCAGCACCGAGGCCCGAGACCUCAUCACGAAGCUGUGCUGUGCGGCUGACUGCCGCCUGGGCAGGGACGGGGCAGAUGACCUCAAGGCACACCGUUCUUCAAUGCCAUCGACUUUUCCCGUGACAUCCGAAAGCAGCCCGCGCCCUACGUCCCCACCAUGGACACCUCCAAUUUUGACCCGGUGGAUGAAGAAAGCCCCUGGCAGGAGGCCAGCGGAGAGAGUGCCAAGGCCUGGGACACGCUGGCCUCCCCCAGCAGCAUCCAGAGCACACCUUCUAUGAGUUCUCCUUUCGCAGGUUCUUCGAUGACAAUGGCUAUCCCUUCCGGUGCCCGAAGCCCUCAGAGCCAGCUGAAAGUGCAGACCCAGGGGAUGUGGAGUUAGAAGGUGCUGCGGAGGGCUGCCAGCCAGUGUACGUGUAA